rnacentral:rRNA from 2 species
UAAAGGCAUGGUCCUGACCUUAUUAUUAGCUUUAACCCAACUUACACAUGCAAGUCUCCGCAACCCCGUGAGUAUGCCCUUAAUCCCCUGCCCGGGGACGAGGAGCGGGCAUCAGGCACAAAUUUUUAGCCCAAGACGCCUGGCCGAGCCACACCCCCAAGGGAAUUCAGCAGUGAUAAAUAUUAAGCCAUAAG